AUGGGGGAAAUUUCCGAGAGUAUUCAGUCGACGUUGGCUACCUUACUGACCAAGUUCGAGGCCAUGGAUCUCAGGAUUUCGAACUUGGGCAAGAAAAUCGAGGCGACGCAAGAGAACGUCGACGCGAUUCGUCAUCGUCAGGCGGAGGCAGGCGCUACUCCGACAGGAUCAGGUGUCACGGAGCAGGGCGCGACCUCCACCACUCGCCCCGUUCCGCGGCUCGCUAAUCUGCAACUGCCGUUGCUGGGGACACCGGCAGAGCAUCAGGAAGGGCAGGUAUUCACCACAGCACCUCCCUCGCCUGUGGAGCAAGUACCAGGUCGGGAUCCACCUCCAGAAAUGCGUCAACAAGUCAGGCCAGGGCGGGAGCAUGUUCCAGAACCUCGUCGGGAGUUUGCAGCGGCUCGCGAUCAGGAAUCCUACGUCAAGCCACCCAAGCAUCACUUUCCCCGAUUUGCGGGUGAGAAUCCGAGGUUGUGGUUGGAUCAGGCACUGACCUAUUUCAACAUGUAUCGCGUGCCUGAACAUCACUGGGUCUCGACAGCAACAUUAUAUCUGGAAGGGCAUGCGGCAUUGUGGUGGCAGGCGUUCAAACAGCGUCGUCGUUUGUGGCCCUGGGAUGAUUUUGCAACGGAGAUUGCACUGGAGUUUGGCCAAGGGGAGUAUGAAUCACACAUGACCAGAAUUUUGCAACUCAAACAGCUGGGUACAGUUACUGAAUACAAGACUGAGUUUGAGUCUGCAAUGUAUAACUUGAUCGCAUUGGACCCUUCCUUGAACUCGAAAUUCUUCAUUUCUUAG
rnacentral:rRNA from 1 species